rnacentral:tRNA from 1 species
GGACAGGUGGCAGAGUGGUUGAAUGCACCGCACUCGAAAUGCGGCAUACCCUUACGGGUAUCGGGGGUUCGAAUCCCCCCCUCUCCGCCA